AUUCAAUUUCAUAGAAAUAUGAAAAUUGUUGAGAUUUUUUGGUAAACUAAUUAGCGACAUUUCAAAGUUUGGUAAAUCAUAUUAUUCAUAAUCUCUUUCAUAUAUCACAUCAAUUCAAUUUCAUAGAAAUAUCAAAAUUGUUGAAAGGUUUGUUUGGAUGUGUUCACAAAUGAGUUAAAAUCCUUGUAUUUUGGAUGAUAGUUAAGACUUUCAGUUAAACUAAUUAGCAACAUUUCAAAGUUUGGUAAACCAUAUUAUUCAUAGUCUCUUUCAUGUAUCACAUCAAUUCAAGUUCAUAGAAAAUAUGAAAAUUGUUAAGAGGUUUGUUUGGAUGUGUUCACCAAUGAGUCAAAAUCCUUGCAUUUUGAAUGAUAGUUAAGA
rnacentral:lncRNA from 1 species